rnacentral:rRNA from 1 species
GAUGAACGCUGGCGGCGUGCCUAAUACAUGCAAGUCGAGCGGUAAGGCCCUUCGGGGUACACGAGCGGCGGACGGCUGAGUAACACGUAGGAACCUACCCCAAACUGAGGGAUAAGCACCAGAAAUGGUGUCUAAUACCGCAUGUGCUCUACGGAGUAAAGCUUCGGCGGUUUGGGAAGGGCCUGCGUCCGAUUAGCUAGUUGGUGGUAUAAAAGACUACCAAGGCGACGAUCGGUAGCUGGUCUGAGAGGAUGAUCAGCCAGACUGGGACUGAGACACGGCCCAGACUCCUACGGGAGGCAGCAGUGGGGAAUUUUCCACAAUGGGCGAAAGCCUGAUGGAGCAACGCCGCGUGCAGGAUGAAUGCCUUCGGGUUGUAAACUGCUUUUAUCUGUGACGAAUAUGACGGUAGCAGAUGAAUAAGGACCUGCUAACUACGUGCCAGCAGCCGCCGCCG